UACGAAGGUCCCAAGCGUUAUCCGGAUUUAUUGGGUUUAAAGGGCGCGUAGGCGGUCACCGCAAGUCGACUGUGAAAUCUCCGGGCUUAACCCGGAAAGGUCAGCCGAUACUGCGGGGCUAGAGUGCAGAAGGGGCAACUGGAAUUCUCGGUGUAGCGGUGAAAUGCGUAGAUAUCGAGAGGAACACCUGCGGCGAAGGCGGGUUGCUGGGCUGACACUGACGCUGAGGCGCGAAAGCCAGGGGAGCAAACGGG
rnacentral:rRNA from 1 species